UUGUGUGUUGUAAUGCAAGUUGUAAAUGUAAUUAGAGAGAGAGAAGCACGAGACGGAGACCUAAGAGAAGCAUUUGGUAAACGGCCCAAUAGGGAACACCUUUUUAGCUAAGUUGUUGCCCUGUAUGUUGUUGAUGAUGGAUGCUGUUGCUGCUUCCCUUUGUCUUCUUUUAUUUUUUCUUUUUAAUUUUUUCACCAAUUCUUUGUUUGGAAACUGCUCUCUCUUUCCCCCCUCGCUUCCGCCUCUCUCUCUCUCUCUGUCUCUCUCUUUGGGUUAUUUCGUAAAUUAACGAUUACUGUCCUCUUUUAAUCUCUCUUUUUCUCUCCUCUUCUACAUUGUAUUCCUCAUCUCAUAUCCUUCCCCUUCAAGGCCUCGUUCUCUCGUUCUCUCUCUCCCUCUCUCUCCUCUUCUUUGCAUUCUUCUCCUACUAGGGUUUUCGUUUCUUUUCAUGCUCCUCUUUUUUCUCUUUCUUUUCUCAAGAAGGAGAUUGUUAGAUCGAUCAGGCUUUUCUGCUCUUAUUUCUUAGAUUUGGUGUAAGUGAGUAUUGCUGCUUGCAUUGGAAUUUCUACGGUGCCUGUGUAUAAUUCAUAAGGUACAUUAUUAGCAGCAGUAAUGCAAGGGCAGAGGAGUAUUAUUGGCUCAUUGCCAGAAAUACUGGACUUUGACCAUGGAUCUACAUCAAGUAAUACCAUCAUUGAUCAGCAAAUUUGCUGGAAUAACAUGCAAAAUCCUGCAGAAAACCGAUUAGCAGACUUUAUGCUAUCGCCAAGUCACAUAAACAAUGCAUAUGUCAAUUCUGUUGAUCAAGAACGACAAAAUUCAGGUGGAUGGAGUUUGGGUGAACCCAGUUCAAGUGGUGCACAAAACGAUGCAAGUUGUGAAGACCAGAAAUCAGAACAUGGAUGGUCAUCUUCAGGAAGUACUCGUGCUGGAGCUGGUCGAAGGUUAGAAGAAAGGCGAUAUGAACCAGGCAGUAUUCUAUCGCUGGACAGUGUUAAUGUGAACCCUCAAUUUGGGCAGAGUUCCAAUUCCGAUGCAAUUCCUCAGAAUCUCAGUCUGAAUGCAGGUUUUGUGGGUCAAGGCAGUGAUAAUGGACAAGUCAUGGAAAGCUCUAACAUGUACAAGUCUGGCAGAGAUGAAAAUCAGCGGAUUCCUCCUGCUAGUCAUUCUGAUGCAUUCGUGCGUCCUUCUGGAAGUAGUGGAUACAUGUUGGAAGAGAGUGAUGGCAGACCAGGUUGUUCUUCAUUGGAUGGUCGCCGUCAGUCAUGUAAAAGAAAGGCAGUCGAGGGACAUAUUGGACAGUCCUCUAUGAGUGGAAGUUCAAGUUUCUUUCAUUGCUCAGAGGGUAGUGCAUGGCCUGGUGUUCCUACCCACUAUGAUGCAGGCAGCAGCUUGAGUAUAUCUGCUCCAUCAGAACAGGUGAACCCCAGACUUGGAUUAGGUCUGAGGGGACUAGCUUCUGAUGGUAUUCCUGAUGCAGCAGUAGCCGGACAUUCUGAAACCUCCCAAAGAAAUUUUCGAUUGAGAAUAAAUCCUUCAACUCAAGAAUCUGUUCCCCCUGCUUUAUUUUCUACAGGGAGUGCAGUUAGGCGCUCCAAUUUACCAUCUUCCCACCGCCCAUCUAGACUUCUUCCGACCGAUCAUUCAUUGGACUUUAGAUCACCACUAGCAGUAGAAGCGGCAACUUCUCAGAGUCAGCCUUUUGUUAUCCCUGUUCCACCUUUGCCCCAAAAUGUGCAGUCAUUUAGGUGGAAUGAAAGCUCUAGCACCAGAACUGGUAGCUCAUCAAGUUCUAUUGCUUUGAGUGAUAGGGAGGAAACCGGCUCGAGAAACAUAUCGAGAAACAUUUGGGAACAUCCUAUGUUUGUACCUGCAACUGAGUUGAGAACCUCGGUUAGAAAUCCAACAAAUAGAAGUGUCACUGGUGGAAAUGUUGCUUCUACAUCGCGGUCUGGCUCAAGCUCGGGUGUCCAUCCUUUAUCACCUCCAAGUUGGGUGUCUCAUCCAAAUCCUUCUUCAAGAAAUUCACGUAGAUUAGCUGAAUAUGUUCGCCGUUCUCUAUUUUCUUCUGCUGGUGCGGAUUCUGGAGGCCAGAGCAAUGCACAUUCUCCGCUGCAUUCUGGUCCUUCUGGCUCCUCAGAAGAAGCAAUGAUUUCUUCUGGAGUCAGUAACCCAGUGCAUCAUCGAUCAUAUCCAAGAUCAGCAUUGUGGAUGGAGAGACAGGGUGAUGGUGUACUUGGAAUUCCUUAUCCUUUCCGAACUUUGGCUGCUGCCGGUGAAGGAAGAAGCAGGCUUCUUGUGUCUGAGCAGAUUCGCAAUGUCUUGGAUCUCAUGCGAAGGGGUGAGAGCUUGCGAUUUGAGGAUGUCAUGAUUCUUGACCAAUCAGUGUUUUUUGGAGUGGCUGAUAUUCAUGAUAGGCAUAGGGAUAUGCGGCUUGAUGUUGAUAACAUGUCGUAUGAGGAGUUGUUGGCUUUGGAAGAGCGCAUUGGAAAUGUUAGUACUGGAUUGAGUGAAGAAACUAUCUUAAACCGGCUAAAGCAGCGGAAAUAUUCUGUUGCAGUAAGGACUGAGGUGGAUGCGGAACCUUGUUGCGUUUGUCAGGAGGAAUAUAAUAAUGGAGAAGAUGUUGGAACACUGGACUGUGGGCAUGAUUUUCACACCGAUUGUAUUAAACAAUGGCUGAUGCUUAAGAAUUGGUGCCCCAUUUGUAAAACAACGGGGCUUGCUACAUGAAAAGUUAUUUUGAUGAUCAGGCGAUUAAGAUUAUGCACAUAAUAUGAAGAAAGAGAAGCCUAUUUAUGAAAUAGCCCAGAGAAAAUGGCUUUAGACCAGGGGAGAGGAGAGAAGGUGACCAACUAUUGGAAUAAGUUGGGUUUGAUUUGGAAUGGCUUUAUAUGGAUUGGGCUGGAUGUGGAUUGGCGACUGCCUUUUUUUCUUUAGAGUUUUAGAACAAGUAAGGUUCCAUUUUGAAGAUUGACGAGUGUCAAGUGUUCCAUUUUGAAUCCAGCUGCUGGUGAUUUGGGCAGUUUCCAGAUGGAGAAUGGAGUAAAAACGUGUUUGGUUGAGGGGAUGAUAAUUGUGUGAAGUGACAUCGGGAAUUGCACCUUUUGUUGGACAAGCUAUCCAAUGCGCUGUUCUUUCAGGCUAAUGUGACGUUUUCCUUGCAUAAGACUCCGAGAUGAUGUCUGUCUCUUUGACCAUUUCCUUCCAUUUUACUCUCACGUCCCUCAAAAUUUUUUUUCCCCAAUGCCUUCCUAUUAGGCUGCUUUUUUUUUUUUUUUUCCCUCAACCUAGUAUAUGUUUUAUGUUAAUAAUUUAAUACUAACAUGAAAUUAUGCAUAAUAAAACCGUUUUUAGUAUUGUUUUAUAAUUUUAGUUAAAAUUAUCCACAAAGGAUGGAUUUUAGUAGUUAAAUCUUUUUGGAAUUAAUAGCCGAGGAUUUAACAUCUAAUACAUCUCAUAUUUAAUUGAGUUUGAAUUUCAUUGAUUACUAUUAAAGUUCCUUGUGAGUAGCAAAGUGGGUGAUAUAUAAGUCUUAUUGUGAAUAUUCAAUGGUCUAUUAUAGGCUUUCUUUGACUAUGUGAUGAGGAUAUCUUUUCUAUC